UACAUGGGGUGCAAACGUUGCUCGGAAUUAUUGGGCGUAAAGCGCACGUAGGCGGUUCGUUAAGUCGGAUGUGAAAGCCCUCGGCUCAACUGAGGAAGUGCACCCGAAACUGGCGAGCUUGAGUACGAAAGAGGAUCGCGGAAUUCCCGGUGUAGAGGUGAAAUUCGUAGAUAUUGGGAAGAACACCGGUGGCGAAGGCGGCGACCUGGUCCUUGACUGACGCUGAGGCGCGAAAGCGUGGGGAGCAAACAGG
rnacentral:rRNA from 1 species